AUCGUAAAUUUUUAUUUAAAACACGAGCUUUCGACUGCCAGUCUGCAGUCUUCGACAGGUAAAGUGACUUUACCUGUCUAAGACUGCAGACUGGCAGUCGAAAGCUCGUGUUUUAAAUAAAAAUUUACA